rnacentral:siRNA from 1 species
UGGACAAGAACUCCCGAGUU